rnacentral:lncRNA from 1 species
ACGGCCCAGGGGCUCCCGCCAGAACCCGAGCCCACGCACACAAGGGUCGCGGGGCUGGGAAGCUCGUCAUCCAAGCCCGUCAGGGAGCCCCCCCAUCACCCGACCGCGAAAGGCUGAGAGAAGGGAGGGUUCGUGCCACCAGAUCACCCAGUAAGCUGCAGCAAGUUAGCAGUGGAACCUGGGCCUCCCGAUUCCCAUGGCAGCCCACUUCUGUAGCGCUGCUUCGUUUUACGCGAGGAUGGUUUCCUGAUAGCUUUCAAACACCUUUGCCAUCUCUUCGCAAACUUUCUAGAUUAAGAAUCCCUUUGAGAAUCUGAUACCUUUACCCCAGAAUAGAACAAUAAAUAACAGCUACCUUCUACUGACACUA